rnacentral:rRNA from 1 species
CCUACGGGAGGCUGCAGUGGGGAAUAUUGCACAAUGGGGGAAACCCUGAUGCAGCGACGCCGCGUGAGUGAAGAAGUAUUUCGGUACGUAAAGCUCUAUCAGCAGGGAAGAAAAUGACGGUACCUGACUAAGAAGCCCCGGCUAACUACGUGCCAGCAGCCGCGGUAAUACGUAGGGGGCAAGCGUUAUCCGGAUUUACUGGGUGUAAAGGGAGCGUAGACGGCAGCGCAAGUCUGGAGUGAAAUCCCAUGGCUUAACCAUGGAACUGCUUUGGAAACUGUGCAGCUAGAGUGCAGGAGAGGUAAGCGGAAUUCCUAGUGUAGCGGUGAAAUGCGUAGAUAUUAGGCGGAACACCAGUGGCGAAGGCGGCUUACUGGACUGUAACUGACGUUGAGGCUCGAAAGCGUGGGGAGCAAACAGGAUUAGAUACCCUAGUAGUC